rnacentral:rRNA from 1 species
AGACCGAUAGCGAACAAGUACAGUGAUGGAAAGAUGAAAAGAACUUUGAAAAGAGAGUGAAAAAGUACGUGAAAUUGUUGAAAGGGAAGGGCUUGAGAUCAGACUUGGUUACCUCGGUGACCAGGCCAGCAUCAGGUGGCGGGGUGACAUAACGCGGAAGGAAUGUGGCUUUGCUUCGGUGAAGUGUUAUAGCCUUCUGAAAUAUCACCACCAUCGCCUGAGGACUGCGCUUCGGCAAGGAUGUUGGCAUAAUGAUCUUAAGCCGCCCGUCUUGAAACACGGACCAAG